CAGUAGCCGCGGGAAUACAGAGGGUGCGAGCGUUAAUCGGAUUUACUGGGCGUAAAGCGUGCGUAGGCGGCUUUUUAAGUCGGAUGUGAAAUCCCUGAGCUUAACUUAGGAAUUGCAUUUGAUACUGGGAAGCUAGAGUAUGGGAGAGGAUGGUAGAAUUCCAGGUGUAGCGGUGAAAUGCGUAGAGAUCUGGAGGAAUACCGAUGGCGAAGGCAGCCAUCUGGCCUAAUACUGACGCUGAGGUACGAAAGCAUGGGGAGCAAACAGGAUUAGAUACCCCAGUAGUCCCUGUCUCUUAUAC
rnacentral:rRNA from 1 species